UAAUAUUUGUUCUAUCAGAGCAAUUGACCCAUUAUUAAUGUUACCAAAAUGUCCCAAUUAAUAAAAGGUUAGUCCCAAAGAAUAUUAAUUAAGUUAAUUUAAAUUCACUAUUCACUCUAUUUAUCCCAACUGAUAACUUUUAGAGCACAUAGGAACUCAGUUGAUCUCAAUUAAUAUGAAUUUGAGUAUUUAAGGAAAUAUGAGGUAUUACAACCGUUUUUCUUUC
rnacentral:lncRNA from 1 species